GAUGUUCAAAAACCAAAGUAAGAUUAUUUCAGCAAAAACAAAUGCCUAGGCUAAGCUAAUAUUGCCAUCUGAUGAAAUAUGACAUCUGUUUGUGUGCAAAAACCUGUUUUAAAGGGGCAGUAUUACGUAUUUCCAGGCACAUUGUGCCAUUGUGUAGCACAAUCAACUACCUGUUACCUUCAGUUCUUUUAAGAAUUCUACAUACAUAUCAAAUAUAACUUGAAAGAGAUUUGACUCUAAUUUAAUGGCUUAAAAUUGGGUCUUUGUCUCUUUAAAUAAUUCAGCGCUUUCUGGAACGCCACCUUCAAGAAGCCAUCACAACAUGGCUCCUCUGUUAAUCCUUUAACAAUGUUUUUUUUUUUUUUACCAGCAUUUUACUGAUAUGUGUUGGGAUCUGGGGAGGGCUGGCUGGGGUUCUUUCCCACUUUUUCCACCAGGGGGCUUCCUGGAGGUUCCUGGAGGGGCGUGGUUUCGCGGCUGCACACCUGACUCAUAUCUGACUCAUUUGGAGGAGUAUAUCUGGAUGGAGCUGCCGACACUCCAGUGCCAGAGUGUUAGCCAGUUAUGGUUGCCCCUCCGUGACGCCUUGGCCGCCUGACCCGAGUUACUGGCUGGAGGGUUCUUCCACCCUGGAUUCCUGUUCUUCCGCUACCAGCCCACCUCCCUUCCCUGAGCCCCGGCCUCGCGGACCCACUAGUCCCAGAGCUCCAGCCGAGCUUUCCCCUGUAAAUCCUCAAAUCCCAGAGAUCCAGCCCUUGCCAGAGAGAAUAAGAGAGAGACACCUCACCUUCACCUGUACAUAUCUGCACGUUGUUUUUCUAAUAAAUUUCCCUACCUGAUCUGCCUCCGGAGUGUGUUCUGCACAUGUGGGUUCAGAGAAUUGAUCGCACCAUGACAAUAUGUAGCUGAUAUAAUGAGCUCAGCAGAUGCACAGUUCCACCAGGUGUUUGCUAAUUGCUGCUGGCUAGUCUGAAGGAGCCGAUGAGAAGCUUCAUCUCCAAGGUGGAGCUAGGUCCAGCCAGGCGUUUUGCACAGCUUAACAGUUGCCACGGGAGAUUAAAGGAUUUCUCAAACAUGCAUGAAAAAAA